rnacentral:rRNA from 1 species
GACGAACGCUGGCGGCGUGCCUAAUACAUGCAAGUCGAGCGAUGAAGCUUGGUGCUUGCGCCAAUUUGAAGAGCAGCGAACGGGUGAGUAACGCGUGGGGAAUCUGCCUUUGAGCGGGGGACAACAUUUGGAAACGAAUGCUAAUACCGCAUAAUAACUUUAAACAUAAGGUUUAAGUUUGAAAGAUGCAAUUGCAUCACUCAAAGAUGAUCCCGCGUUGUAUUAGCUAGUUGGUGAGGUAAAGGCUCACCAAGGCGAUGUUACAUAGCCGACCUGAGAGGGGGAGCAGCCGGAGUGGGAGGGUGACAGGGCACAAACGGACUGAGGUGCGAGCCGGAGGGAUACGUCAGCAAUGGGCGGAAGACUGACCGAGAAACGCCGCGUGAGGGAAGAGGAUUGUCGGGUCGUAAAACUCUGUUGGUAGGGAAGAAAGCUGGUGAGAGUGGAAAGAUCAGUAAGUGACGGUAACUAGUCAGAAAGGGACGGCUAACUACGUG